UAGGUUCUGCAUCUCCUUACAUACAUUUUGUGCUCCCAUGUGAAUCUUGAUGUUUGUUUUUAAGUGGUAGUUUUGCAUUUGAGGGGGAGCAUGCAUUCUUUUGCUCUUAUGCAUGCAUUUCAUUGUGGCAUGUUUUUAGGGGGAAUGCAUGUGUUUAGGGGGAGCCUGUGAGCUUUAUGUGCUCUUUUGCUAUGUUGCUUGUGUUUAGUGGCAUCUUCUGAGCUUUGUGCUAGUUUUGUGCUCUCUUUUACUCUUCUGUCGGUUGUGUUUAGCUUUUACCUCUUCUUGAGGAACCGGCAUUUGAUUUGAGCUUUCGAUCGUCACAUGAUUGGUGUUGAGCCCUUUCUGCCUCUUCUUGAGGAAUCAUGUGUUCUUUGUCUCGGUUGUGUCAAGCCGUUGCCCAUGUCUUUGGGGACCAAGACUUUUCCAAGUUG
rnacentral:lncRNA from 1 species